rnacentral:sRNA from 1 species
CUAAUCAUUGUACGCU